GCAGCUCUGUGCAAGAGCAUCUGCCUUGAGUGCAGAAAGUCCCAGGUUCCAAUCCCGGCAUCUCCA